AUUGAACGCUGGCGGCAGGCCUAACACAUGCAAGUCGAGCGAGCGGCGGACGGGUGAGUAAUGUCUGGGGAUCUGCCCGAUAGAGGGGGAUAACUACUGGACACGUUUGCUACUACCGCUUAAUAUCGUAUGAACCCCUAUGGGAGUAGCUAGUAGGUGGGGUAAAGGCUCACCUAGGCGACGAUCUCUAGCUGGUCUGAGAGGAUGAUCAGCCACACUGUGACGGAGACACGGCCCAGACUCCUACGGGAGGCAGCAGUGGGGAAUAUUGCACAAUGGGCGCAAGCCUGAUGCAGCCAUGCCGCGUGUAUGAAGAAGGCUUUAGGGUUGUAAAGUACUUUCAGCGGGGAGGCGUUACCCGAAGAAGAAGCACCGGCUAACUCCGUGCCAGCAGCCGCGGUAAUUC
rnacentral:rRNA from 1 species